rnacentral:lncRNA from 1 species
UCCGAGCCAAACACUAGUUAGGGGGCCGACAUCAUUCUAACCGCACAUCUCUUAAUCCAAUGGCCAAAAUUCUAGAAGCACCAAGCACUCAGGGAUUGAGUGCAGUUCCCACUGAGUUAUAAUAUUUAAUCUAAUGGUUAAAAAUUAUCAAAGAAAUUGAUCGAAAGAUUAAAAACAUAAUAGAAAAAAGGGGCAAAUACUUUUAAUAGUAUU